CUCCAUGUUGAUGACGAAGAGCCCGUGCCUGGCCCUCCUUCCUGUGAUGGUCUCCAGCUGGGCCAGCAUCUGCACGGGGAGCUCCUCCAGCUGAACCCCGACUUACACAGGAGACAGAUCCCAGAAAACUCUGAGUAACCUGAAAGUAAAGGCCACCGGCCCCUAGAGAGUGCUGCGCAGAGAUGAACGUGUGUGACUCAGGUUUUAAGAGGACCGCCCGGCCGCUGUGUUGAAAGCAGACCACGGGCAGAGGUGCGAGGCUGUAGGUGGUUCAGGUGAGAGAUGCUGGGGGACUGGACCAAGGCGGCGCCACCGGGGCGGGUGAGGGGUGGUCAGAUUCUUGACAGAAUUUGAA